GCGCUCACUUGGCAAACUUACCGAAAGGUAAGGACGCAAAGUCACCGGCCUAAAGGAAUCUAUGGCAGCGGGACCGCGAUA
rfam:Gallionellales bacterium RIFCSPHIGHO2_02_FTLL_57_16 rifcsphigho2_02_scaffold_3058, whole genome shotgun sequence.